rnacentral:rRNA from 1 species
GAUGAACGCUAGCGGGAGGCCUAACACAUGCAAGCCGAGCGGUAUUUGUUCUUCGGAACAGAGAGAGCGGCGCACGGGUGCGGAACACGUGUGCAACCUGCCUUUAUCUGGGGGAUAGCCUUUCGAAAGGAAGAUUAAUACCCCAUAAUAUAUUGAGUGGCAUCAUUUGAUAUUGAAAACUCCGGUGGAUAGAGAUGGGCACGCGCAAGAUUAGAUAGUUGGUGAGGUAACGGCUCACCAAGUCAAUGAUCUUUAGGGGGCCUGAGAGGGUGAUCCCCCACACUGGUACUGAGACGCGGACCAGACUCCUACGGGAGGCAGCAGUGAGGAAUAUUGGACAAUGGGUUAGCGCCUGAUCCAGCCAUCCCGCGUGAAGGACGACGGCCCUAUGGGUUGUAAACUUCUUUUGUAUAGGGAUAAACCUACUCUCGUGUGAGUAGCUGAAGGUACUAGACGAAUAAGCACCGGCUAACUCCGUG